rnacentral:rRNA from 1 species
UGCCUGAUGCACCACAUAUUAGGUACCUCCUGCCCAAUGACUUAACUGUUAAAUGGCCGCAAUUUCGUGCUAAGGUAGCAAAAUAAUUUGUCGUCUAAUUAACGGCUUGUAUGAAUGGACCCACGUUAGGUCAGCUGUCUCCUUUGGGAUCACGAAAAUUAACCUUCGAGGUGAACAGGCCUCUAUGUUAUCAAAAGACAAAAAGACCCUAUGGUGCUUUAGAGCUACAUCACUAAUGUGAGCCUACAUAGAAAGUGAUCUAACCUCUUUUGUUGGGGAGACAUCUGCAUCCAGAAUACCAGAGACCCCUUUAAGACAUGAGCCUCUGCUCUAUUCAAUUUACAGAAGCAACCCUAGGGAUAACAGGCUAAUCCCCCAUGAGAGUACGCAUCGGCUGGGGGGCUUGGCACCUCGAUGUUGGCUUAUAGGACUCCCUAUGGUCGCAGACGCCUAGGAGAGGGGUUUGUUCAACCUUUAAACCUAU